rnacentral:rRNA from 1 species
GAUGAACGCUGGCGGCGUGCCUAACACAUGCAAGUCGAACGGAGUUAUUAUAUUGAAGUUUUCGGAUGGAUAUAUAAUAACUUAGUGGCGGACGGGUGAGUAACGCGUGGGUAACCUGCCUCAUACAGGGGGAUAACAGUUGGCAACAGCUGCUAAAACCGCAUAAUAUGCAGAUGUCGCAUGGCAACUGCAUGAAAUAUUUAUAGGUAUGAGAUGGGCCCGCGUCUGAUUAGCUAGUUGGUAGGGUAAUGGCCUACCAAGGCGACGAUCAGUAGCCGGGUUGAGAGGGUGACCGGCCACAUUGGGACUGAGACACGGCCCAAACUCCUACGGGAGGCAGCAGUGGUGAAUAUUGCACAAUGGGGGAAACACUGAUGCAGCGACGCCGCGUGAGUGAAGAAGUAUUUCGGUAUGUAAAGCUCUAUCAGCAGGGAAGAAAUUGACGGUACCUGACUAAGAAGCCCCGGCUAACUACGUGCCAGCAGCCGCGGUAA